UGCAAAGUUGUUGAAAGUGCAAGGUGUC
rnacentral:piRNA from 2 species